rnacentral:rRNA from 1 species
CCUACGGGAGACAGCAGUGGGGAAUAUUGCACAAUGGGGGAAACCCUGAUGCAGCGACGCCGCGUGAAGGAAGAAGUCUUUCUGUAUGUAAACUUCUAUCAGCAGGGAAGAAAAUGACGGUACCUGACUAAGACUCCCCGGCUAACUCCGUGCCAGCAGCCGCGGUAAUACGUAGGGGGCAAGCGUUAUCCGGAUUUACUGGGUGUAAAGGGAGCGUAGGCGGUUUAGCAAGUCAGAAGUGAAAGCCCGGGGCUCAACUCCGGGACUGCUUUUGAAACUGUUGAACUAGAGUGCAGGAGGGGUAAGCGGAAUUCCUAGUGUAGCGGUGAAAUGCGUAGAUAUUAGGAGGAACACCAGUGGCGAAGGCGGCUUACUGGACUGUAAAUGACGCUGAGGCUCGAAAGCGUGGGGAGCAAACAGGAUUAGAUACCCUUGUAGUC